AAAGACCCUAUGAAGCUUUACUGUAGCCUGGAAUUGAGUUUGGGCUCUUCUUGCGCAGCCUAGGUGGGAGGCGUUGACGGUUCCCUUGCGGGGGGGCUUGAGCCAUCAGUGAGAGACCACUCUGGAGGAGCUAGAAUUCUAAUGGCGAUCCUUGAAUCAGGACGCUUGACAGUUUCAGGUGGGCAGUUUGACUGGGGCGGUCGCCUCAUAAAAGGUAACUGAGGCGUGCAAAGGUUCCCUCAGGCUGGACGGAAAUCAGCCGUAGAGUGUAAAGGCAGAAGGGAGCUUGACUGCAAGACCUACAAGUCGAGCAGGGGCGAAAGCCGGCCUUAGUGAUCCGACGGUACUGUGUGGAAGGGCCGUCGCUCAACGGAUAAAAGUUACUCUAGGGAUAACAGGCUGA
rnacentral:rRNA from 1 species